GGAGAAGUCCACGUGGAACAGGCCGAACCGGGCGCUGUAGCCGUCCGCCCACUCAAAGUUGUCCAGGAGGGACCAGGCGAAGUAACCGCGGACGUCGACCCCGUCCUCUUCAAUCGCUGCAGAGAUACACGGACAAAGAACAUAUUGGAUAUUCUACCCCCGCGCUCUGAAUAACAUCGAUGUGACCACUAUGACCGGGGGACUGAAGACCUGUCCCCAGUGUGUGUCCCAUGCGUCCAGUGGUCUUCCUCUACGCCCAGCAGAGGGCGCUGGUCUCCCCGCGGCAGCGGUGCUGGGACCCAGACCGACCUAUAGGGCCGGUGGAUCGUUCCUCCACAAGCCAACAUUGAUGUAUAUCACUUGAUUUAAUGAAAUGGAGUUAUUAAAAGGGUAAUAAUGUAUUAGUCAUUUUAUAAGUACGAGCCUGCUUUUCAGAUUGUCUUUAUAUUUUGGAGUAUAUUCAGCAUGCUUCAACAUUCCUUCAGCUUUCUCUGUUGAGUCUACAGGGUUCUCAUGUGCGUCAUGCUGUUUCGUGCAUUGCUUAUUUUAAUAUGUGGCAAUAAAGUAUGUUUUGACACACACAGACACACACACACACACACACUGGUGUUGUGUGAAUAUAAAUGGAUGUAUCUUGUUUGCGAUACAAUCCUCUUGCUAUUAAGUCACGUCUAUUCUAAUAUCAGUAUAACUUCCGAGCAGCUCAGAGCUCAACGGAGAUGGCCCUUGUUACCAUGGUGACCAGGCCUGUCCAUGGUCGACUUUGUGUUCAAUUCAACUUGAGGAAUUUGCAGACCUGGGUUCAAGUCCCACCAAGAACAUGCUCUGUACUAUUUUGGAAACAAUGUCAUGUCAUUUGACCCCUGGGCGAGAGGGGCCUCUAAAUCUUAUCUCACCUAGGGCGCCAAAAUGUCUAGUGCCGUCCCUGUCCGGGUUCAACUCUCAACUAGAACGCGCUCCUUGGAAUUCCAACUUGAUACAACAAACAGCUCCAUUGCUAAUGCUGUUGGCGAUCAAUAAAUAAUGUCACAUGAUUGUAAGGUAAAUAAUAAACUCUCGCAUGAUCCAA